GACCAGACUCCUACGGGAGGCAGCAGUGGGGGAUAUUGCACAAUGGGGGAAACCCUGAUGCAGCGACGCCGCGUGAGUGAAGAAGUAUUUCGGUAUGUAAAGCUCUAUCAGCAGGGAAGAAAGAAAUGACGGUACCUGACUAAGAAGCCCCGGCUAACUACGUGCCAGCAGCCGCGGUAAUACGUAGGGGGCAAGCGUUAUCCGGAUUUACUGGGUGUAAAGGGAGCGUAGACGGCGAUGCAAGUCUGAAGUGAAAGGCGGGGGCCCAACCCCCGGACUGCUUUGGAAACUGUAUGGCUGGAGUGCAGGAGGGGCAGGCGGAAUUCCUGGUGUAGCGGUGAAAUGCGUAGAUAUCAGGAGGAACACCGGUGGCGAAGGCGGCCUGCUGGACUGCAACUGACGUUGAGGCCCGAAAGCGUGGGGAGCAAACAGGAUUAGAUACCCCAGUA
rnacentral:rRNA from 1 species